rnacentral:misc_RNA from 1 species
GAUGAAGAACGCAGCGAAAUGCGAUAAGUAAUGUGAAUUGCAGAAUUCAGUGAAUCAUCGAAUCUUUGAACGCACAUUGCGCCCGCCAGUAUUCUGGCGGGCAUGCCUGUUCGAGCGUCAUUUAAACCUUCAAGCUAAGCUUGGUGUUGGGUGACUGUCCGCUUCACGGCGGACUCGCCUCAAAAUUAUUGGCGGCCGGUACAUUGGCUUCGAGCGCAGCAGAAACGCGAACUCGGGCCCGUCGUAUUGGCUCCCAGAAGCUAUCUUCACAAUUUUGACCUCGGAUCAGGUAGGGAUACCCGCUGAACUUAAGCAUAUCAAUAAGCGGAGGA